rnacentral:rRNA from 1 species
UACGUAGGUGGCGAGCGUUGUCCGGAUUUACUGGGCGUAAAGGGAGCGUAGGCGGACUUUUAAGUGAGAUGUGAAAUACCCGGGCUCAACUUGGGUGCUGCAUUUCAAACUGGAAGUCUAGAGUGCAGGAGAGGAGAAUGGAAUUCCUAGUGUAGCGGUGAAAUGCGUAGAGAUUAGGAAGAACACCAGUGGCGAAGGCGAUUCUCUGGACUGUAACUGACACUGAGGCACGAAAGCGUGGGGAGCAAACAGGAUUAGAUACCCU